rnacentral:tRNA from 1 species
CAGAAAAUUUAUUUAAGCUUCUAACUUAAAAUUGGAGAAUUCUCCGUUUCUGC